rnacentral:snRNA from 1 species
AUACUAACCUGGCAGGGGAGAUAACCAUGAUCACGAAGAUGGUUUUCCCAGGGUAAAGCUUAUCCCCUGCACUCUUGAUGUGUUGACCCCUGCAAUUUCCCCAAAUGCGGGAAACUCGACUGCAUAAUUUGUGGUAGUGGGGAACUUCAUUCACGCUCUUCCCUG